UACGUAGGGACCAAGCGUUGUUCGGAUUUACUGGGCGUAAAGGGCGCGUAGGCGGCGUGGUAAGUCACUUGUGAAAUCUCUGAGCUUAACUCAGAACUGCCAAGUGAUACUGCUGUGCUCGAGUGUGGAAGGGGCAAUCGGAAUUCUUGGUGUAGCGGUGAAAUGCGUAGAUAUCAAGAGGAACACCUGAGGUGAAGACGGGUUGCUGGGCCAACACUGACGCUGAGGCGCGAAAGCCAGGGGAGCAAACGGG
rnacentral:rRNA from 1 species